rnacentral:rRNA from 1 species
AACGAACGCUGGCGGCAUGCCUAACACAUGCAAGUCGAACGGGAUCCUAGCUUGCUAGGUGAGAGUGGCGGACGGGUGAGUAACACGUGGGAAUCUGCCUUUUGGUUCGGGAUAACCGCGGGAAACUGCGGCUAAUACCGAAUGCCCUCGAGAGAGGAAAGAUUUAUCGCCAGAAGAGGAGCCCGCGUCCGAUUAGGUAGUUGGUGGGGUAAAGGCCUACCAAGCCGACGAUCGGUAGCUGGUCUGAGAGGAUGAUCAGCCACACUGGGACUGAGAUACGGCCCAGACUCCUACGGGAGGCAGCAGUGGGGAAUAUUGGACAAUGGGGGCGAACCCUGAUCCAGCAAUGCCGCGUGAGUGAUGAAGGCCUUAGGGUUGUAAAGCUCUUUUGUCCAGGGAAGAUGAUGACUGUACCUGGAGAAUAAGCCCCGGCUAACUCCGUGCCAGCAGCCGCGGUAAU